GUUUGAUCCUGGCUCAGGAUGAAUGCUGGCGGCGUGGAUAAGGCAUGCAUGUCGAACGGGCCCGCAAGGGCUAGUGGCGAAUGGGUUAGUAACACGUAGGAACAUACCCCACUCACAGGGAUAAGCCACCGAAAGGUGGUCUAAUACCUGAUAGUCUCGAAAGAGUAAAGGUUCCCGCAAGGGUUCCGGAAUGGGAAUGGCCUGCGUCCUAUCAGCUUGUUGGUGAGGUAAUGGCUCACCAAGGCUAUGACGGGUAGGCGGCGUGAGAGCGUGACCGCCAACAGGGGAACUGCGACAUGGUCCCCACUCCUACGGGAGGCAGCAGUCGAGAAUCUUCCACAAUGGGCGAAAGCCUGAUGGAGCGACGCCGCGUGCAGGAUGAAGGCCUUCGGGUCGUAAACUGCUUUUGGCUGGGAACAAGGGAGUAAUCCCUGAGUGUACCAGCAGAAUAAGGGGCCGCUAAUCUCGUGCCAGCAGCGGCGGUAAUACGAGAGCCCCAAGCGUUAUCCGGAAUUAUUGGGCGUAAAGCGCGUGUAGGCGGGCUUGUUAGUCUUCUGUUNAAACUCGGAGCUCAACUCCGAAUCUGCGGGAGAUACGGCAAGCCUAGAGGAUGUGAGAGGCUAGUGGAACUCACGGUGUAGGGGUGAAACCCGUUGAUAUCGUGGGGAACACCAAAGGCGAAGGGCAGCUAGCUGGCGCAAUCCCUGACGGUGAGACGCGAAAGCGUGGGUAUCGAAUGGGAAUUAGAUACCCCAGUAGUCCACGCUGUAAAUGUUGGAGACUGGCUGUUUGAAGUGUCGACCCUUCAGGUGGCGAAGCUAACGCGUUAAGUCUCCCGCCUGGGAAGUACGGCCGCAAGGCUAAAACUCAAAGGAAUAGACGGGGGCCCGCACAAGCGGCGGAGCGUGUGGUUUAAUUCGAUGCAACGCGAAGAACCUUACCAGGGCUUGACAUAUUAGUGGUACGGAUCAGAAACGUGAUGGACCCUUCGGGGAGCUAAUACAGGUGCUGCAUGGCUGUCGUCAGCUCGUGCCGUGAGGUGUUGGGUUAAGUCCCGCAACGAGCGCAACCCUCGCUGUUAGUUAAAUAUCUCUAACGGGACCGCUGGGAUAAACCCAGAGGAAGGUGAGGAUGACGUCAAGUCAGCAUGGCCCUUACGCCCUGGGCUACACACACGCUACAAUGGCCGGUACAGUGGGCUGCCAAGGCGCGAGCCGGAGCUAAUCCCCCAAAGCCGGCCCCAGUUCAGAUUGCAGGCUGCAACUCGCCUGCAUGAAGGCGGAGUCGCUAGUAACCGCAGGUCAGCAAUACUGCGGUGAAUACGUUCCCGGGCCUUGUACACACCGCCCGUCACGUCAUGGAAGCCGGCAGCACUUGAAGCCGCUGAGCCAACGCGCAAGCGGGGCAGGCGUUUAGGGUGAGACUGGUAACUGGGACGAAGUCGUAACAAGGUAUCC
rnacentral:rRNA from 1 species